UGCAGGAACGUUCAUUUAGAAGAUGUA
rnacentral:piRNA from 1 species